rnacentral:lncRNA from 1 species
AUACAGUGAAAACAAGAGAUACUUUUUGCAUGAAAGAAGACAAUUGCAAUUAUUCAGUCAAGAAGUGAUGAAGUUCUGAGCUGGGCGGAUGCCUGGGUGUGUAGAGAGUCCAGGACAUGGAGCAGUGAUAUGUUGAAGGGAAAAAGUACAAGAUAUACCAGCAAAUUGCUACUUGGAACCACAGCAGGCCCUUCCCAAUCAGGACAGGCACAGAUUCCCCUAACAGACUACAGCAGGCCAAUCAGGACAGGCACAGAUAACUCUGGUAAGUAUAUCCUUUAAAAAUACACCCCACCUCCCAACCCCUACAUAUCGUCU